AAGUCGUAACAAGGUUUCCGUAGGUGAACCUGCGGAAGGAUCAUUACCAAUUUUAGCGAGCCUUGGCAUUACGUUCUUGGUCUCGUGAAAUUAUUGUAUUUAAAACCCCACUCUUCUAUAAUAAAAUAAUAUGUAUCAUGAUAAAAAUUAAAGAUCA
rnacentral:misc_RNA from 1 species